UUAACUAUUAGAUAGUACUCAGACGACACUAACAUUCAGAGUUUGGGUUUCCUUUGGCAGGCACGAUCCAGCCGGAGCCGGUGCCCGAGGGCGGCCUGCCGAAGCAACAAAGAUAUAAUACACAAGGGUGGGCGUUUCUACCCGUGAGGGCAGGGAACACUGUAAUGAUCCUUCCGCAGGUUCACCUACGGAAA
rnacentral:misc_RNA from 1 species